CUCGGCGCUGUUCAGAAUGUCUUCGUAGCUUUCUAGCCACGAGUACCCCAAAGGCGAAGCAUUCGUUCAGCUGCCGCUGGGAAUACUGCAUAAAACUAUAUGCUUUAUUCAUUCUUUUUUCUGCCUCUAUAAGUUCAGGAGGAUUAUUUUGUCGUCUUCUGUUUGGAUUAUUUUGUAUUGGUCUUACUGUUGCACCUUGUUCAGUUCAACCUUGUUCUUGGCUUAUAGUAUUUUGAUCUGAAGGGCUCGGUUCUUCAUUGAUUAUAGGUUCUUGAUUCUGCAAGUACAAAUAAUAUAAAUAUUUUUGUUACAGUUGCCGGAGACUGCCGAGAGAACAAGACUGGCUGGCCAUAGAAAGUGGCUUCCAUCAGCGUUUCCCGCACUGCAUAGGUGCGAUAGAUGGAAAACACGUAGUGAUAGUCUCCAGUUAACAGUGGCUCAGAAUAUUACAACUAGAUAAAUGACUGUGGUCUGAAUAUAUUACAUGUGGAUGCUACAUUUGGAGGGGCUACAUGACAGCUUCAUUUUUAAUAAUACAGUCAUACAGCGUCACCUGGAGCAACUAAAUAAUGCGGGAGAGACAGCAUAUUUGUUGCUACAUUACUACAUUAUAUUUGUUACUAACAUUAGCAACGUAGCGAAGUUAAGACGAAAAUUGAGACAGGCAGAAGAAACAAUUAAAAACAACAGAAUAGCAUUCGUAAGACUCAAAGAAAACUUUUUAAGACGAUGUAGAACAUGUAUCGAGCACGAAGGUCGACAUAUUGAAAACUUUUUAUAAUAAAUAAUUUUAAGAC